UACGUAGGGGGCAAGCGUUGUCCGGAAUCAUUGGGCGUAAAGCGCGUGUAGGCGGCCUUGUAAGUCCGUUCUGAAAGCCCGGGGCUCAACCCCGGGAGGCGGAUGGAUACUGCAAGGCUCGAGUACGGAAGAGGCGAGUGGAAUUCCUGGUGUAGCGGUGAAAUGCGCAGAUAUCGGGAAGAACACCCGUGGCGAAGGCGGCUCUCUGGGACGGUACUGACGCUGAGACGCGGAAAGCGUGGGGAGCGAACAGGA
rnacentral:rRNA from 1 species